CCUAAAAAAUGUUGAUUCAGAUAUUUAGAGAGAAAGGGAUCUAGCUUAUGUUGAAGGUGAAGAAUGGUUUCAUCGCCAAAACCCUAAUCUCAUCGUGGCCGUCGCUGCCGCCAUCGCCACCGCCGUCGAGCAAAGGUGCCUCCUCCACUAACUCAUCUCUAGAUCUGGUAGCAACGCCCAAACCUCUAACAUCUACGCCUUUCUCUAGCACCGCCGAUCUUCAGCAAAAAGCUGUGACGUCAAUACAAAUCCCAAACUCACCUCUCAUUUCGCACUCUGUCUUUCCCGGCUCAAAUUACGAAUGGCCGAUCAGAAUCCUGCGGAGCCAGAACCGAAGAGCGGCUCCGAUGCGUCUUCUCGGAUCGAGAAAGUGAGUGAGUGGUUGGCGAAGACAUUCGAAGCCACCGGCAAACCCGUCCCAGAGUUUGAGUACACGCCUCGCAACGUCUCGCAUUUGCACGGCCUCUUAAUCGUCUCCAAAGCCAAAGAUGAAGCUGCGCGUCUCGUCGCUCGCGAUUUCCGCCAGAAGGCCUCUGAGUACCGAUCCCAAGGCAUGCUUUUGGUGAUCAGUAUCGGGCCACUGAUACUGUAAUUAAUGGAGCUGGGAAGCUGAAGUUGGUAUUUGGUAUCUUUACCAGAGUUGCAAUCAAACAGCUCGACAGGAUCACUGGCCAGGGACAAUUUGUGAUAUCAGUAGAAGAUACCUUGAAGAUCAUAAUCUGCAGGAAACAACACAAGAAGCUCUAUUCCCUUGAGAUGGAACUUGCUGCUAUUAGGAAUGAGGGUUUUGUUUUGAAGCAACUGCUUGAGACCAAUGGGAUUUACUCUGAGGGAAAGCUUUUGGUCAUGAUAGGUGUACUCACAACAUUUGGCUGCCAGAAGAAUAGGGACGCCAUUCACAAUGCUUGGAUGGGAAGUGGUGCAGCUUUGAAGAAACUGGAGGAUGGAAGGGCAUUGUUGCAGGAUUUGUUAUUGGGAGAAGUAAAAAUCAUGGAAACAAUCAGGAUAAGGACAUUGAUCGUGAGAAUAGGCUGACUAAUGACUUCUUAAUUCUUAUAAAUGGGAUGCACUGCAAUUAUGUUCAUCAAUAAUGAAUAACUAUCUCAAGGAAAGUUUUAAUUUAUUGUUAUUGGCAAAUAAUUGUUGCUUUAGUUUUAAUUCAAUGUGUUGAUUUUCGAGCAAAAGUAUUUGGGAUCAAAUGGUCAAUGUUACUUUGUUGCAGCUUGUCUGUAAUCAACUACAUAUAAGAGUUACAUUAUUAUUACUUUAUAAUAAUUAGUUAAUUAUCUGUACUCCUAAUUUCUUCAAGUUGAAUGUGUGUGCUGUGUCUAUAUAUAUGGCCAAGUUGUGGAAUAGAAUUUAGGUAAAUAUUGUGAUGAGUAUAUAUUUAAUUAGCAUAGGGUAGCACUAUAGGAUAAUAUUGCAUGCUAGCUUAAUUUUAUUUGAGCUAAUUAUUUCUGGAAAUAGUUUGAGUCUUGUUGGUAUAUUCGGGUUUUGUGUGAUUAAAAAGUAACUUAGCAAGUUGCAAGAAACUGAGUUUUUUUUUUUUAAAUUUGGGGGGAGGACUUAAAUUUGAUGUUGAAAAUAAAAAAGCAUGAAAAGAGAAAUGGGGACCAAACUCACGCAAAGAAGACUUGAAAAUAACGUGUCUUAUCAGCAAAAGUUAUUAGCUUUUAAAAUUAAUUCCAAAUUGUGAUCAAAUCUCAAAGUUAAUUAUAGAAGUAUCGGGACUCUUGUACAAAUGGUAUCCUAAUUAAUCCCCCAAUUAUAUGAUAAUAUUUCUUGUGUGCCUUUUUGCAUAAUGCAAUCAAUUUUUCUAUUUCCAUGCUAUUUUGUGAUUGGACAUGUAUUUGACAUUUUAAGCAUCAUUGACUUUUUUUUUUAUCAAAUUAUAUCUAUGUCUAUAUAGUCCUUGAAGAUAGUGAGAGUCCAAUGGAGCUAGAUGUUUUCAAUUUCAAAGUCCUAGGUAUAACACUUGCUAUGUAUAAUGUUGAUGAGAUUUGAUUCAUUUUAUAGUUUCUACAAGCAUAUACCAUUAUGUUUUAGUUAAAUGUAUAAACCCUUUUUUUGUUUUUAUUGUUGUGUGUAAACAUGCUUGCUUUUGAUAAUUUUAUAGUCUAUUUGAGCGUUUGCUGAAUCAUCAAUGUCCCUGGCAUUUUCAAAGAGGUGGCCACUUUACUUGAGUACUAAGAAUACAAUUUUCAAGAAAUAUGAUAGUAGGUGAUUAUUCUCAUAUUUCUGAUUUAAUUUAUAGUGUCAACUGUCACUGUUGUAUGCCAAAUUUCUUAGUAAUUUAGACUUAUUGACUUACUCUCUAUUUUGUUGAUAUUUAAACUUAUUUACAGUUUGAUAGUGUUACAGAUUUAAAGAUAUAUUUCAGGAGGUGUAUGAACUAUGAAGAGAGAUGGAAGAAAAAAUUUGAAGAACAUUCGUAUGACAAUGACUUCAACUUAUUACUUAUAUAUAACUUAUGUUCAUUCCUUUAUUUUCUCCCUUGCUACUAUUAUACCCUAACUUGAUGUAACAUAAUUAUAGGCUUGUAACAUUUUUUGUUAUUUAAAUUUGUAACAUAAUUUAUUAUU